AUAAUGGAUUAAAAUUAGCAUAAUCCAUCAUUCAGGAGUUUCCCAUUCUUUAGCUUAAUGCUUUUUUAUUUAUCCCUUUUUUAGUUUUUCUGCUGAGAUUUUCAUUUAAAAAAAUCACUCACUUCCCAGUUAUUUUUAGGAAUAAGCAGCAUCUAGCCUUGGUCUCUUGACUUUAUUUUUGUAAAGCUUCAUGACCUACUUUUCAAAUGGCCAGAAGGAAGGUGGGACUACCUUGUACUUGUAAAAGUCAAUUGUGUAUUCCCAGGAUCCCUUUUUACUUAGACAAGCGGCAAAAUACUUAAGCACAGCAGAACCAAGACUGUCUUUGCCUUUCUGCCACUAAUUUAUAUUUUAGACCCAUGUGCUUGACUUCAGCAAGUGCUCAUGAGGACUAGAUGGAUCAGGGGAAGCUUAAUGGGAUAUGGAGUCCUUUACAGCAGGCUUAUUGAUCCAGAAUACAAAUAAGCUCUAACGGGGAAUCGAGCCGUUACCACCUGUCAGCCGCCUCAUAGUCUGUGUGAGAUGUAAUGGUCGGGUCGAUUCAGCCUCACAGAGGCCCCCAGCCAGAAGCUAAAUAUUUGAACUGGCCAGAAAAGUGAAAGGUCCCUUUCUAGAGAAUUGAGCCUUGAAGGGUUGGUGUUAAGGCACAAGAAAGGUUGACUACCUCAGUUAGAGAAUUGGAAGGAAGCUUUCAGUGAUAUGUUUUCCAGGGUCAGCAGAUACUUAUUAAGAAACAUAAUUUGCAGAAAUUUAAUUCAACAGGUGCUUGUUAAAGAUUUACGAUAUGCAGGAUCUGCCUAUAGGAGUUAGAAGUUAAUUUAUUUGGUUGGUUUCCAUGGGAUUUGGAGCAGGAAGGCUCCCUGUUACGCCCAGGAGCAAAUGCAGCUUUGUCAGUUUGGCAUUUAAAGGCAGCCGGUCUUUGCUUGCCCAUGGCCCUCCAUGCCCUCUGGGGUCCAGCCAAGCUGACCUGGCUGUGUCUGGGUACCCGAUUCUCCCCGCUGCCUUUGCUCAGCCUCUCCAACCUCACAUACCUGGGAUGCACGCCUCACUUCCACCUCUUUCCUUCAGGACUCAGCUCAAACCCCUCCUCCUACAUAAAGCCAUUGUUAACCCCAACAGCUGCUAAUGCUUCCUUUCCACUUACCCAGUUUGUGUGUAUUUUGCAUCUGUGUACAUGCCUUCCUUGGUGGAAUGUAAGCUUCUUGAGGGCAGGGAAUGUUUCAUUUUUGUAUCUCCAGCACCUAGCACACAAUAGGUGUUUAAUAAAUGCUUUGUUUAUUUAUUUAGUUGUAACUCCAUUAUUUGAAGCCUAAAGUGACUUGAAGGUCAAGGAAGAUAGAGUAGCAGGGCUUUAGUUGGAAUUCAGUUCUUCCUAGUUGCAAAUCUUUCACUCUUUUCCAAUAAAGAUGUAAAACGGUAAUUUUCCCUGAGCAUUUUAGUUACACUAGUUUUGCACAGGGAGCUGGUCUUUAAGCCAGAAAGACCAGGAUUCAAAUCUUGCACUGAAAUACUUCACUGUGUGACCUAGGACAAGACAUUCAACCUCUCAGUGUCAUAAUAGCUAACAUUUAUAUAGCACUUACUCUGUGGCAGGCACUGUGCUAAGUGCUGAGCCUUAUAACAACCCUGGAGGGGUGGGGGUGGGGGGAUGGUUAUCAACAUUUUACAAUUGAGAAAACUGAGGCGAAUGGGAUAAGUGAUUUGCCCAGGGUCACACAGCCAGGAAGUGUCAGAUGCUGGCUUGGAACUCGAGUCUUCAUGUCUCCAGGCCCCCAGCUGCUCCUGGGCAACUCCAAGAUGGCAAAGAAGGUGCCAGCUAGAAUGGGUGGAGAGGAUGGUCUCAUCUAGUAAUUACCUGUAUCAAUAAAAUCAGAUUCACUUCUUGACUCGGUCCUAAUUUUUAUGUGG
rnacentral:lncRNA from 1 species